UUGCUUUGGCAGCACAUAUAUUGAAUUGGAAUGAUACAGAGAAGAUUAGCAUGGCCCCUGCACAAGCAUGACAGGCAAAUUCGUGAAGCGUUCCAUGUUUUU